rnacentral:snRNA from 1 species
AUAUUAAACGGAUUUUUGGAACAGGGAGCUGGAUCAGGAGCUUGCUCCAUCCUCUCCACGCAUCGGCCCGGUAUUGCAGUGCCUCCGGGAGCGGUGC